rnacentral:rRNA from 1 species
CGCUAUCACUCCUACGGGGAGGCAGCAGUAGGGAAUCUUACCACAAUGGGCGCAAGCCUGAUGGAGCAACACCGCGUGAGUGAAGAAGGGUUUCGGCUCGUAAAGCUCUGUUGUUUAAAGAAGAACACGUAUGAGAGUAACUGUUCAUACGUUGACGGUAUUUAACCAGAAAGUCACGGCUAACUACGUGCCAGCAGCCGCGGUAAUACGUAGGUGGCAAGCGUUAUCCGGAUUUAUUGGGCGUUAAAGAGAGUGCAGGCGGUUUUCUAAGUCUGAUGUGAAAGCCUUCGGCUUAACCGGAGAAGUGCAUCGGAAACUGGAUAACUUGAGUGCAGAAGAGGGUAGUGGAACUCCAUGUGUAGCGGUGGAAUGCGUAGAUAUAUGGAAGAACACCAGUGGCGAAGGCGGCUACCUGGUCUGCAACUGACGCUGAGACUCGAAAGCAUGGGUAGCGAACAGGAUUAGAUACCCUGGUAG